GAUGAGCGCUGGCGGCGUGCCUAAUACAUGCAAGUAGAACGCUGAAGCUUGGUGCUUGCCCCGAGCGGAUGAGUUGCGAACGGGUGAGUAACGCGUAGGUAACCUGCCUCUUAGCGGGGGAUAACUAUUGGAAACGAUAGCUAAUACCGCAUAAAAGUCGAUAUCGCAUGAUAUUGAUUUGAAAGGUGCAAAUGCAUCACUAAGAGAUGGACCUGCGUUGUAUUAGCUAGUUGGUGAGGUAACGGCUCACCAAGGCGACGAUACAUAGCCGACCUGAGAGGGUGAUCGGCCACACUGGGACUGAGACACGGCCCAGACUCCUACGGGAGGCAGCAGUAGGGAAUCUUCGGCAAUGGGGGCAACCCUGACCGAGCAACGCCGCGUGAGUGAAGAAGGUUUUCGGAUCGUAAAGCUCUGUUGUAAGAGAAGAACGAGUGUGAGAGUGGAAAGUUCACACUGUGACGGUAACUUACCAGAAAGGGACGGCUAACUACGUG
rnacentral:rRNA from 1 species